GAUCUGGUUCAGGACGAACGCUGGCGGCACGCUUAACACAUGCAAGUCGAACGGAGUUUAGAGAGCUUGCUUUUAAAACUUAGUGGCGGACGGGUGAGUAACACGUGAGCAAUCUGCCUUCAGAGGGGGAUAGCAGUUGGAAACGACUGAUAAUACCGCAUAAUAUAGUAGGAUCGCAUGAUUUAACUAUCAAAGAUUUAUCGCUGAAAGAUGAGCUCGCGUCUGAUUAGAUAGUUGGUGAGGUAACGGCUCACCAAGUCGACGAUCAGUAGCCGGACUGAGAGGUUGAACGGCCACAUUGGGACUGAGACACGGCCCAGACUCCUACGGGAGGCAGCAGUGGGGAAUAUUGCACAAUGGGCGCAAGCCUGAUGCCAGCGAUGCCGCGUGAGGGAAGAAGGUUUUAGGAUUGUAAACCUCUGUCUUCAGGGACGAUAAUGACGGUACCUGAGGAGGAAGCUCCGGCUAACUACGUGCCAGCCGCAGC
rnacentral:rRNA from 1 species